rfam:Pseudomonadales bacterium RIFCSPLOWO2_02_FTLL_63_210 rifcsplowo2_02_scaffold_231817, whole genome shotgun sequence.
CUUGACGACCAUAGAGCGUUGGAACCACCUGAUCCCAUCCCGAACUCAGUAGUGAAACGACGCAUCGCCGAUGGUAGUGUGGGGUUUCCCCAUGUGAGAGUAGGUCAUCGUCAAGC